AAAGACUCAAUUCCUGGGGUUUUUAUGUCUAACGUUUGACCGUCCGUCUUAUAUGAAAUUUUUUUAUGAUUAAUAUUUUCAUUAUUGUUAGAUGAUAAAACAUGAAUAAUACUUAUGCAUGAUUUAUCUUUUUAUUUUUGUCAUAACUUUUUCAAAUAAAACGAACGGUUAAACAUUAGACACGGAAGCCUAAA
rfam:Oryza sativa Japonica Group DNA, chromosome 12, cultivar: Nipponbare, complete sequence.